rnacentral:lncRNA from 1 species
AUUGAAUAGCCAUUGUCUUACACUUAAUCACAUAUUGCCUCGAUAUUUAAUGAAAUAUUUUGAUAAUAGACAACGGGGAUAUGAGACGACAACACUCUGGAAUGGGAGGGCAACAACUUGGCGUUAUAGCUCCCAUGAAAAUCAUAAUAUCCAUUCAUCGACGUGAUUGCAUACGUUACUAUACUAUCCAUUGCAAAUCUAUUUAAUGAGAUAUCACAAAUUCAAGAAAACUAUUCACAUCAUUGUAGUUAUGAGUAAAGAUUUUUUAAUGCUAACUUUAAUAUGGAGCUUUAUUUUCAGGGUAUAUUAAUAUUGUCUGCCAAGUUGAUGGAUGGAAUUAUUCACUAGUUAAUAAAGAUCUACCCGUGUUAUUUAAUAUGAAGGAAAAAUCCCAAGGAAGAAUUUUUCUUGUUAUAGAACAACUCAAAUUUUGUGGUUG